CUCAACGGUAAAAUGGCCUUCGAUACUGGGUUUCUUGAGUCCGGAAGAGGCCGGUGGAAUUCGUGGUGUAGCGGUGAAAUGCAUAGAUAUCACGAAGAACACCAGUGGCGAAGGCGGCCGGCUGGUCCGGGACUGACGCUGAGGCACGAGAGCGUGGGGAGCGAACAGGAUUAGAUACCCUGGUAGUCCACGCCGUAAACGAUGUAUGCUAGUUGUUGGUCCGCCUGGCGGAUCGGUGACGCAGUUAACGCAGUAAGCAUACCACCUGGGGAGUACGUUCGCAAGAAUGAAACUCAAAGGAAUUGACGGGGGCCCGCACAAGCGGUGGAGCAUGUGGCUUAAUUCGAUGCAACGCGAAGAACCUUACCCAGGCUAAAUCGCGGGCGGCGGGCCGGGAAACCGGUCUUCCCUUCGGGGCGC
rnacentral:rRNA from 1 species